CAAUAGCGUAUAUUAAAGUUGUUGCAGUUAAAAAGCUCGUAGUUGGAUUUCUGGUCGGAAGCUCCUGCCCUCUGAUGAGCGUACAAGUGCGUCCUACCAUCCUUCUGUUAACCUUUAAGGCUUUCGCGGCUUUCUAGGGGCUCAGAUAUUUUACCUUGAGAAAAUUAGAGUGUUUCAGGCAGGCUAGCGCCGGAAUACAUUAGCAUGGAAUAAUGGAAUAGGACUUUUGCCUCUUCUGUUGGUCAUGAGGCUCGAGUAAUGAUUAAUAGGGAUAGUUGGGGGCAUUAGUACUUAACUGUCAGAGGUGAAAUUCUCGGAUUUGUUAAAGACUAACUUAUGCGAAAGCAUUUGCCAAGGAUGUUUUCAUUA
rnacentral:rRNA from 1 species